AGGGUUGGGAAGGUGAAAAGUAAGCCGAGUAGUUGCAUGGAGCGGGUAAGAGAUGCUCUAGGGGGUUAAUGUGGGGUGAAUGGUAGGGCCCUGUGCAAGCAGUGGCACAGCCCUUCGUAUAAAAUAAAUCUGUGAAACUGUUCCAGAGAAGAAAUUUGUAUUUUUGUUGUCACCGGCACUACCCAAUUGGUACCCACCGCAGACUGAUCUUCUCCGUUCAAUUCUGCAGAACAUUUUUUUUAAAAGCAUAGUGUUGCAGAGCAGAUGUAGUACAUACGUUUAUAGAGCAGUUAAAGUGUUUCUGCUGCUUUCAGAAUGGUACAUUUGUAUGCACCUUCUUCAAGGCUUCAGUCUUCCUGGCUGCAUGCACACCAUACAUUCAAAGCACAUAGAGAGCACUUGGCUCCCCCCCAAAAAUGCUGGGAAGUGUAAUGUACCUCUCACAGAGCUACAACUCCCAGCACCCAUAACAAACUACAGUGGUACCUCGGGUUAAGUACUUAAUUCGUUCCGGAGACCCGUUCUUAACCUGAAACUGUUCUUAACCUGAAGCACCACUUUAGCUAAUGGGGCCUCCUGCUGCUGCUGUGCCGCUGGAGCACGAUUUCUGUUCUCAUCCUGAAGCAAAGUUUUUAACCCGAGGCAAUAUUUCUGGCAUAUUAAAACAUAACCGCAUUUUAAAAGUUGACUGGAACAGAAAAGUCCUCAACAACAGCCCAAAAAGCAACUAAAUGGGAACAUGGUACCACUUUAUUUGUGUGGUUUAUGUGAACCAGGCCUUCAUUUAAUGUUUAAUCCAGGAAAGAAAUACAAGAAUAGUAUGGUACUCAACCUGUUUUGAAAAGUUUAUUAAAUACCAAAUAUUCUAAAUUAUAACAUUCUUAAAAACAUUAAUGUACAAUGUUUCAGAGGUAAAGCAAGAAAGAAGGUUGUUAUCAGAAAUGAUCGUUAUCGUAAAUGGCAUUAUGAUUUAAGCAAUAUGUUAUUGUUAUUAAGGCUCAUAAAGUGUAGAAAAUCAACCAAUUUUUUAAACAUUUAAUGUUUCUAGUCAAAGCUUCCAACACCAGUCCUGUUUAACUAGAUUAAUAGCAUCCUAUUCAGUAGAUGAUAGCUAAACUAUCCUUUUUAAAAAAUAAUCCAAGCAAAUAUUGUUAACACCCUGAAAUCAAUUCCAGCACAUGAGAACCCCUUGAAUAUUAAUCGUGACUUGAGCAAACAGACCCCUUAAAAAAAGCAAAAGUAUAUGUUGAUGAUAAGCAUCCUGCCCAAAAAUUCAUUUACUGUAUGUCUUGCAGAAUAUAAUCCAAGCAAUGUUUAGAAAUGAUUAAAUGAGAUAUUCCUCUACAGGUAAGAUUCUCAAUCUUAAUUUUACAUCUACACAGCAUCAAAGUAAUGUAAAAAGACAGAUUCUUAUAUCCCCAAUUUUUUAAGGCAGGUUAAGAAAAUUCUCACAUUCACUGCAUGCAUUCAUGACUCGAAAUAAAACUAGUUAGUUUUAACUACGAUUUGGGCUCGGCCCCUCCAAGUCAGAGACCAUUUUAAGGGACAAAAGCCUUCUGUGGCCACAAUGUAGCUGGAUGUUUCAGGCUAAUUCUGUUGUUCACUACAAUCAGCCUAAGAUCUUAAAUCUGCCGGUGUUCGAAUUAGUUGACUAAACAAUAACUUAAAACUGACGGCUCAUAUUUUGGGAUGGGAUGAGACAGCUCAGCGGCUAUCGCUUCAAGUUUCCCAGGCUUGUAAACCUGAUUGGUAAAUCACCAAUCCGAAAGCCACUUUGUGGCCAUGGUUACUUCAAAUGCAUCUACUGUAUCAAUUAGUCUUUUGUGGGCGAGCUUCGGAUAAUGAAAAAUGUCCAUCAUUAAAGAUCUCUCUCUGCUGGGAAUGCCCCGGAGGUAAAGGAGGAAUAUUACAAAGGUAGUUCUGUCAAGCUUCCGUUCAUUGCUGUGGAGCUUAUGUAGGAGAAAGGUAUUGGUAGAUUGUGCCCGCAGUUAAGAAAAUUAGAUUCUUCUGUAGAAGAGGAACGCAGGGCCAUGGCCCUUAUCCUGCAGCUCCACUGGCCACACAUAGCAGGCCAAGGCUACAAAAGUGAGGCUAGCUGGUAAGGCCCCAUUUUCUUCCUCCAUUUGAUUACUACGACAUGGAGGAAAACACCUGAGAGGGAGGCCUUCUAAGUACUGAAUCAUUUUGAAAAGGGGUAGACGGGACAUUUAAACUGCUUUGCAGAAUAAGGCCUUCAAAUGUAAGACGAAGCCAUGGAAUUCUGCUGCAUUAACAAGCCAUAGCGAGUCUUGGUCCUGAAGACAAUUCCUCCCCUUCUCCUCCUCUUGAAUGCUCCUGCUUCCGAUUUUAGCCAAAUCUAUUUCCUUAGACAUCGGAACUAGAGGAACUGCGCCUUCUUUAAACUAUGAUUAGUGAAAAGAAGCCAGAAUCAAACCCUGCUUUCAGAUCCUGGCUUGUUCUCACCACAGUUUAAACAAACCACGGUUCCUCAAGUUCAAAUAUCAAAGGAAACCGCAAUUAGUUUAAAAUCACAGUAUCCCCAUCUCCUUUUCUGGUU